AUUAUGGUCCAGUUUAGGAAGCUUAGCGUGAUACUGGCCAGCAUGAAACCUUACAAAGUGGAUUGAGUUAUAACCAUUUUUUUUUUACUUAAAGAGGAAUGACUACAAUUGCACAAUUAUAAUUUCAUCAUUAGUCACUAAAAUAUAUUAGCAGUCUCCGGGCUGCCUGAAACUUGGAAUGAUAAAGGUGUUACCAAAAAUAAU
rnacentral:lncRNA from 1 species